rnacentral:misc_RNA from 1 species
UCGUAACAAGGUUUCCGUAGGUGAACCUGCGGAAGGAUCAUUACCUAGAGUUGUAGGCUUUGCCUGCUAUCUCUUACCCAUGUCUUUUGAGUACCUUCGUUUCCUCGGCGGGUUCGCCCGCCGAUUGGACAAUUUAAACCAUUUGCAGUUGCAAUCAGCGUCUGAAAAAACUUAAUAGUUACAACUUUCAACAACGGAUCUCUUGGUUCUGGCAUCGAUGAAGAACGCAGCGAAAUGCGAUAAGUAGUGUGAAUUGCAGAAUUCAGUGAAUCAUCGAAUCUUUGAACGCACAUUGCGCCCCUUGGUAUUCCAUGGGGCAUGCCUGUUCGAGCGUCAUUUGUACCUUCAAGCUCUGCUUGGUGUUGGGUGUUUGUCUCGCCUCUGCGCGUAGACUCGCCUCAAAACAAUUGGCAGCCGGCGUAUUGAUUUCGGAGCGCAGUACAUCUCGCGCUUUGCACUCAUAACGACGACGUCCAAAAGUACAUUUUUACACUCUUGACCUCGGAUCAGGUAGGGAUACCCGCUGAACUUAAGCAUAUCAAUAA